rnacentral:sRNA from 1 species
ACCGCCUGGGAACACCACGUGAUGUUGGC